rnacentral:rRNA from 1 species
GACGAACGCUGGCGGCGUGCCUAAUACAUGCAAGUCGAACGCUUUUUCUUUCACCGGAGCUUGCUCCACCGAAAGAAAAAGAGUGGCGAACGGGUGAGUAACACGUGGGUAACCUGCCCAUCAGAAGGGGAUUACACUUGGAAACAGGUGCUAAUACCGUAUAACACUAUUUUCCGCAUGGAAGAAAGUUGAAAGGCGCUUUUGCGUCACUGAUGGAUGGACCCGCGGUGCAUUAGCUAGUUGGUGAGGUAACGGCUCACCAAGGCAACGAUGCAUAGCCGACCUGAGAGGGUGAUCGGCCACACUGGGACUGAGACACGGCCCAGACUCCUACGGGAGGCAGCAGUAGGGAAUCUUCGGCAAUGGACGAAAGUCUGACCGAGCAACGCCGCGUGAGUGAAGAAGGUUUUCGGAUCGUAAAACUCUGUUGUUAGAGAAGAACAAGGAUGAGAGUAAAACGUUCAUCC